GGGUCCCUGGUGUAUUCGCCAGACUUACAGUCCUCGAGCCGAUAUUUUUUACCCGGGGGCUUCUCGCUUCUGCUGGUGUGCAAGUCCGGUUCGGCCGGAAAGCCUUAUGCAGUUCAGGAGUCACCACCUUGAACCAUCGGGUUCAAGGGCAGUUCUGUCAGCGGUACUCCGGGAACCCC
rnacentral:other from 1 species